UGCCCCAUGAAUGUCAGACAAAGCUGUCAUAAAUCCCGAAGGUCAGGCAGUAAAAUUAAUGGGAGUUGCAGAGAGCAGGACCUUGUCAGCUUCAUAAUAGUGCUGUGGGUGGAAAAAAAAUUCUCGUGGUUUCCUUCAGGCUUCAGGCAACCCACCUACUGAUGCUCAGUGGUCAUUAUCCAAUUACAAGUGCUUUUUGCCCAGAAGAACGCAGUCGUUAUUGCUUUUAAUGUGUUAAAGAGUCAGCAGCAUGGAGCACAGGCAAGGGAGCAGACCCCACUGCAGUCUGCGGCAGGAGUUCCACGGAUCGUCUCCUCCUCUUGCCCGUGGGUGUGGGAGCUCUUUGCAAUGUGAGUUGUAUUUUGUCAUUUGCAAUAAUGCUUUGUCAUUUCAGAGGCGACCGGGGAGCAGCGGGGGCCCGGCCUCUUCCCUCUUCUGCCUCGUCCAGCUGAUCGGUAUCAGCCAGAGGUGGGGCGUCCUGUUUAUGUCCCCGAGCAGGACUGGGAGUGCUGGCCCGUCCCACCGGCACCGCCGCUGUCCCUGGUCCCUGGAGCGCUGCCGCCGGGGCUGCUCCUCGGAGCGCCGAGGCCGGGCUCUUUGUCCGAGCUGCGGUACAUGAUGUUGGCUGCGGCCAGGGCCAAGUCACGGGGCAGGAUGUGCUGCUUCUGCGGAGGUACAGACAUGCGAAUAAAUGACAUAGCUUUCAGGAACUUCUCCGGGCACUGGUGUUACUCAGAUAAAGCCCAAGCAGAGAUUAUGCAGCAGAUUUGACCACACGGAGGCUUCACAAAUGCUUGAGGUACAGAGGCAAGUUGCAUCUGAUGCAAAUCAAGGAAAGCUCUGAUGAAGGGCAGAGACAGAGAGAGAACAUAUUUUUUACACAUAUACAUCUUGAAGUUAUAAUACGAGAAAUAUCUCCUACUGAUCCAGGUAGAGAUCAUGUGUGUGAAUCUGCCACAGGAACUGCAGUGAGGAAUGCCCUUUCCUCCAGGUUAAUGCCAGCCUAAUGGAUGGUUGUUUGGUUUUAAUCUUUUUGCCUUGUUUGUGUACCUCAGCAUGUGUCCUGAGCCUGGAGCUGGGCUGCAUUUUGCAUCUGCUAGAAGGGGUGCAUAUCCAUGUCCACAGCAAGUCAGUUCAGGGAAAUUUCACUAAUGUUUGCUUUAGGAAGCAACUUUACUCUUCUCAGCAAUUUUCAUACAGAUCUGAUGGCCUUUUGCCAGCCCUAAUUUCCAGAUGACUUAAAAGCCAUGUCUUGUAUUUAAUUUCUAUGUAUAAGUCUGAAACAAGAUAUCAAAGAAAGAAAUGCUGUCAGUGUGAGCAACCUGCCUGGUCAGGGGGAGCUCAGAGACAUGAGCAGAGAAAGCACCAUCUGGGAAAUGUAAAAGUGAGCAUGGAGAUGCACAUACACACACCUUCAUCCAUGCCUGCAACCCCCCUAGACCUUCCAGCAGCCUGGCAAACUUCUCGUAUCUGUCUUCAACAGCUGUGAAAGUGUCCAGAUACCUCGAACUGCAUAUUGCAGUGCAACAAAGCUUGGGCAUGAUGGUAUUUUUCUGGGCUACAGGACUCAGGCUUAAGUGUACCCAUGAGUGCAUCACACCAGUGAUACAUCACAUGUUCAAGCAACCCAGCAUUAUAUUUGCUCCCAAGGACCCCUAAGAGUGAUGGAGAAGUGAGGAGAUGGGCUAGACACAGAGAGUGGCUCUCCCAAGGCCUGCUGCAGCACACUGGUGUCUUGGCCAUGCUAACAUUUUCAAUAUGCCAGCAAGUUCCCAUAUAUAGUGCAUUUCCCAGCUUUUGAGCCUUGCCGAGGCAUCAUUGCAUUCCCUUGAAGCAAUACAAGGCAUUCAUGAAGUUUCUGUGCUGAACUGUGGGAAAAGUGCGGCAAGAAGCUGUGACCCCUGGGUAAGAGCAUGCUUUGGAAACACCGUCAUCAAAAAAUCAACACAUCAGCCCAGAAGGCCCACAGACAGCUGAUCCCCUCCAGCCUUAUCAGAGAGAGAGCUCCUGUGGAUGCUGAGGCAGCAGCCACUGGACAUUUUUGAGAUGUUUAUUCUAUCGUGUGUUGAUAUUGAA